rnacentral:rRNA from 1 species
AGUGAACGCUGGCGGUAGGCCUAACACAUGCAAGUCGAACGGCAGCACAGUAAGAGCUUGCUCUUACGGGUGGCGAGUGGCGGACGGGUGAGGAAUACAUCGGAAUCUACUUUUUCGUGGGGGAUAACGUAGGGAAACUUACGCUAAUACCGCAUACGACCUACGGGUGAAAGCAGGGGAUCUUCGGACCUUGCGCGAUUGAAUGAGCCGAUGUCGGAUUAGCUAGUUGGCGGGGUAAAGGCCCACCAAGUCGACGAUCCGUAGCUGGUCUGAGAGGAUGAUCGCCCACACUGGAACUGGGACACGGUCCAGACUCCUACGGGAGGCAGCAGUGUCGAAUAUUGGACAAUGGGCGGAAGCCUGAUCCAGCCGUACCGCGUGGGUGAAGAAGGCCUUCGGGUUGUGAAGCCCUUUUGUUGGGAAAGAAAAGCAGCAGGUUAAUACCCCGCUGUUCUGACGGUACCCAAAGAAUAAGCACCGGCUAACUUCGUG